UACGGGGUGCACCAGUCGCGAAAACUUUGCAAUAAGCGAAAGCUUGACAGGGCUAUCCCGAGUGCCAUCCGCUGAGGAAGGCUUUUACCCAGUAUAGUAAGCUGGAGGAAUAAGGAGAGGGCAAGUCUGGUGUCAGCCGCCGCGGUAA
rnacentral:rRNA from 1 species